rnacentral:rRNA from 1 species
GAUGAACGCUGGCGGCGUGCCUAAUACAUGCAAGUCGAGCGAACGGACGAGAAGCUUGCUUCUCUGAUGUUAGCGGCGGACGGGUGAGUAACACGUGGAUAACCUACCUAUAAGACUGGGAUAACUUCGGGAAACCGGAGCUAAUACCGGAUAAUAUUUGAACCCGCUUGUUUAAAAGUGAAAAAACGGUCUUGCUGUCACUUUAGGAGGAAUCCGCGCUGAAUUGCUUAGUUGGUAAGGUAACGGCUUACCAAGGCAACGAUGCAUAGCCGACCUGAGAGGGUGAUCGGCCACACUGGAACUGAGACACGGUCCAGACUCCUACGGGAGGCAGCAGUAGGGAAUCUUCCGCAAUGGGCGAAAGCCUGACGGAGCAACGCCGCGUGAGUGAUGAAGGUCUUCGGACCGUAAAACUCUGUUAUUAGGGAAGAACAUAUGUGUAAGUAACUGUGCACAUCUUGACGGUACCUAAUCAGAAAGCCACGGCUAACUACGUG